rnacentral:rRNA from 1 species
UACAGAGCCUGCAAGCGUUAUUCGGAUUCACUGGGCGUAAAGGGAGCGCAGGCGGCCAAGUGUGUGAGGCGUGAAAGCCUGGGGCUUAACCCCAGAAUUGCACCUCAAACUACUUGGCUAGAGCAUUGGAGAGGGUAGCAGAAUUCAUGGUGUAGCAGUGAAAUGCGUAGAUAUCAUGAGGAAUACCAGAGGCGAAGGCGGCUACCUGGACAAUUGCUGACGCUCAGGCACGAAAGCGUGGGGAGCAAAAGGG